UACGGAGGGUGCGAGCGUUGUCCGGAAUCACUGGGCGUAAAGGGCGCGUAGGUGGCGCGAGGAGUCUGUGGUGAAAGCCCGAGGCUCAACUUCGGGUCGGCCGCGGAUACUCUCGUGCUGGAGGGUGGUAGAGGCCAAUGGAAUUCCGGGUGUAGCGGUGGAAUGCGUAGAGAUCCGGAAGAACACCGGUGGCGAAGGCGGUUGGCUGGGCCACACCUGACACUGAGGCGCGACAGCGUGGGGAGCAACAGG
rnacentral:rRNA from 1 species